AGAGUUUGAUCAUGGCUCAGGAUGAACGCUAGCUACAGGCUUAACACAUGCAAGUCGAGGGGAAACGAUAUUGAAAGCUUGCUUUCUUUAGGCGUCGACCGGCGAAUGGGUGAGUAACGCGUAUCCAACCUGCCCCUGAGUAAGGGAUAGCCCAUCGAAAGAUGGAUUAAUACCUUAUGGUUUCCUUUGAAGGCAUCUGAUUAGGAAUAAAGAUUUAUCGCUGAGGGAUGGGGAUGCGUCUGAUUAGCUUGUUGGCGGGGUAACGGCCCACCAAGGCGACUAUCAGUAGGGGUUCUGAGAGGAAGGUCCCCCACAUUGGUACUGAGACACGGACCAAACUCCUACGGGAGGCAGCAGUGAGGAAUAUUGGUCAAUGGGCGCAAGCCUGAACCAGCCAAGUAGCGUGCAGGAUGACUGCCCUAUGGGUUGUAAACUGCUUUUAUACGGGGAUAAAGUCAGAGUCGUGACUCUGUUUGCAGGUACCGUAUGAAUAAGGACCGGCUAAUUCCGUGCCAGCAGCCGCGGUAAUACGGAAGGUCCAGGCGUUAUCCGGAUUUAUUGGGUUUAAAGGGAGCGUAGGCCGGAGAUUAAGUGUGUUGUGAAAUUUAGGCGCUCAACGUCUGCACUGCAGCGCAUACUGGUUUUCCUUGAGUACACGCAACGUUGGCGGAAUUCGUCGUGUAGCGNUGAAAUGCUUAGAUAUGACGAAGAACUCCGNAUUGCGAAGGGCAGCUGACGGGGAGUGCAACUGACGCUGANNNNNNAANNNNCGGGUAUCGAACAGGGAUUAGAUACCCUNGNUAGUCCGCCACGGUAAACGAUGGAUGGCCCGCUAUUCGCUCGAAUGAGUGAGUGGCAAGCGAAAGCAUUAAGCAUCCCACCUGGGGAGUACGCCGGCAACGGUGAAACUCAAAGGAAUUGACGGGGGCCCGCACAAGCGGAGGAACAUGUGGUUUAAUUCGAUGAUACGCGAGGAACCUUACCCGGGCUUGAAUUGCAGAUGAACGAUCCAGAGAUGGUGAGGCCCUUCGGGGCAUCUGUGAAGGUGCUGCAUGGUUGUCGUCAGCUCGUGCCGUGAGGUGUCGGCUUAAGUGCCAUAACGAGCGCAACCCCUGUUCUUAGUUGCCAUCAGGUAAUGCUGGGCACUCUGGGAAUACUGCCACCGUAAGGUGUGAGGAAGGUGGGGAUGACGUCAAAUCAGCACGGCCCUUACGUCCGGGGCUACACACGUGUUACAAUGGCCGGUACAGAGAGUUGGUCGUGCGCAAGUACGGUCUAAUCCAUAAAACCGGUCUCAGUUCGGACUGGGGUCUGCAACCCGACCCCACGAAGCUGGAUUCGCUAGUAAUCUCGCAUCAGCCAUGGCGCGGUGAAUACGUUCCCGGGCCUUGUACACACCGCCCGUCAAGCCAUGAAAGCCGAGGGUGCCUGAAGUCCGUGACCGGAAGGAUCGGCCUAGGGCAAAAUCGGUAAUUGGGGCUAAGUCGUAACAAGGUAGCCGUA
rnacentral:rRNA from 1 species